GGCUGGUCGCAAGAAGUGAACGUCCUAGGCUGGUUUGACAGGAACUGACUCAGACUGGCGAAGUGAUUGCCACCCUGCUGGAAAUUGCCUUGCUGAUGAUUGGCUCUCUCCUGGAUCAACUGUAACAGCAUCUGAGUAUUUGCAUUGGUAGCUGCCAUCAUCGCCUGCCAGGCCUCUGCAGGAGGAGGCGGCGGCGGUGGCGGAGGAGG
rnacentral:lncRNA from 1 species